rnacentral:lncRNA from 1 species
CAGUUUGCGAGGGAGGGAUGGGCUGCUUUUCAGUCCAUCCUUGUGCCCUGAGGAGCCAGAGCAUUAGGGGAUCACUGGGGACCUCCCUCAAAGGCUUCUGAGCUGCAUCAAGGACGCCAGGGUCACAGAACAAUGCCAUUUGGCAGAUGGCAGAAGCUGCCUCAGGGAAGGAGAAAGGCUGGCUCUGCUGCCAAGCCAGAGAUAGAAAACAUUUUCUCUGAGUUAGAAAAAGGAAUGUCCCUUCCUGUUUGGAAACAGCAGAUGGACCCAGUAUUCUAGUACUUGCAGAUCGUUUUGUAGGUCAUAUGCUCUUUGGAGCACAGAGGGAACGCUGCCGACCCAUGCCUCCAAAAAAAAGCAGUUGAACUUAUACAGUACGCUGCAUAGCUUCUAUGGUUUCUUAGACCUUUUGGAAACCAUUUAUGGAUUCCUAAUGGGUCCAUAAACCGUAAGCUAAGAGUCCCUCCUGUCGUGGUUUUUUAAAAUGGCUGCAAGUUCUUGGCUACCCCUCCCAUCUAGAGGUAGUGUCUUUGCCCACCCACCUUUGAGUCUGGGAAAGAUCUGACUGCUUCUGCUAAUCAAGUAUGGCUUCCAAAGCCUGUUCAUAAAAGGCCAGGCAGCUUCCUCUGGUUCACCAAAGAUGCUCAGUUUGGGGGUGCUCCCUCUUGGAACCCAGCUCUAGGCCAUGUGGUCAGGACACAUGCAGGUGGUGUGGUGGUGAGUCCCAGUUGAGCUUGGCUAUUAUGAGUUGAAUUUAACAUCCCUCUGAGGAUAUCGAAGACUUAACCACAAGUACGGGUGAAUAUGACUUUAUUUCAGAGUAAGAUCUGUGUGGAUGAUCCAGUUAAGAUGAGGUCAGUAAGGUAGGGCCUAAUUCAGUAUGCCCUGUGUUCAUAUAAAGAGUGGGACUUUGAACACAGAGAUAGCCAGGUGUGUGGGAGAAUACCAUGUGGAUAUGAAAGCAGACAUCAGUGUGAAGCACCUGCAGUCCAGGGAAUGCCACAGAUGGCCAGGAAGCCACCAGAAAUGAGGAGAGAGGCAUGAAACAGAUCCUGCCUCACAGCCUCAGAAGGAACCAGACCUGCCAAUACCUUGUUCUUGGAUUUCCAGCUGCCAGGGCCUUAGGACAAAAGUUUCUAUUGUCUAAGCCACCCUAUUUGUAGAACUUGUAAAUGGCAGCCUCAGAAAACUAGGAUAGCAUCCUUGGUGUCAUUCAUCCCCCGGCUCCAGGUGGGAAGUAAAGAAGCCAUCUCAGAAGUGGGAUCCUCCAUCCCCCAGACAUUCAAGUCACCUGCAGCCAUCUGGUUUCUCCAGCUGAGGCCAGAGACAUUUGACAGCAGAGACAUGCCAUUGCUACUGUGUCCUGAUUGAGUUUAUGAUUCACACAAUCUGCGAACAUAAUAAAAUGCUUGUUGUCUUCGUGCUCUUAGUAUGGGGUUGUUUGUAAUGAAGCAGUGAUUAACUGGAACGUUGCCUAAAACUCUUCUGACCUCAUACCGCUCUAAAUUAUGUCCUCUUCCUUCUUUGUCUGCAAAGACAGCCUGCUUGACGAACUAAUUUGAGCUAAAUGUCCAUGGUAAUGGCAUCAUAGAACCCGAGAAUUGGAAAGAAGCUUGAUACUCACAUUUAGGAAAAAACAAAUUACAGUCUCAACUUCAUACAAAUCAAACAGCCUUCAUUUUCCCUUUCAAUCCUUGUGCAUACAUAAUUUGUGGAUAGUUUAUUCAAGAUUCAUUCAACAUAGUUAUAAUCAGGGCAGACAUAAUUUUUGAGUCUGCUUUAUUCAACUUGCCAUCUAUCAUAGCAUUUUCCAUGUUGCUACAUAGUUUUAAUUAUUUUAAUUGGCUGCAAAGAAUUCCGUAAGUGACUGUACUAUGAUUUACUCAAUCAUUGUCCUUUUGACCAAUGUGAAAACUUUGUUGUGAAUCUUCUUUAAUUGCAGUAUUUUAAUUGUUGGUUGGCCUGAGAGCCACAUCCACCCACCCCAUUUUUGUACUGCCUGCAGCCUCAUGAUAGCCUUUAAAGGUUUAAAUGGCUGGAAAAAAAGAUAGUAUUUCAUGAUACUUGAAAAUUACAUGAAGUUCAGAAUUCAAUGUCCGUAAAUAAAACUCCCUGGAACACAACUUCAUCCAUUCAUUGACAUAUUACCUGUGGCUGCUUUCACAGUACAGUGUCAGAGUUGAAUAGUUAAGACAGACUGUAUGGCCCACAAAGCCUGAAAUAUUUACUAUCUGGCCCUUUACAGAAAACAUCUGCAGAUCUCUUCUAAAUAUACCUCAAGUCAUCCCCCUCCCCCCACUCAGCAUUCACAUCUAUGAUAAUUUUUUCAGUUUGUCAUGAAUCUCUUUUGCUCAUCUUUCUAACUCUCCUUAUUCAUUUAUUCAACAAUGAUUUGUUAAACACUGCUUUUUGCUAAGUACCUGUUCUUGCCAGACAUUGUGGGGAUAUAAAGGUAAAUAUAAUUCCUUGCUUUCAAGGAAUUUACAGUCUAAGAAGACAUUCAAGGCAGAAGGACAUAUAAUAAUAUCACAGGUUUGAAAGUCCUGGGAGGCACUAGAGAAGCACAGAAGAAAUGCUACAGGGUCCAGAUGUGGGAUAAUUCCCAACAGCUGGGAAUGUGACAUUUGAGCUUCAGAGAGGCAAAGGGAAUGUCAGCUGGAUAGAAAAACAACUACAGCCUGGGACAGUGUGUGUGUGUGUGUGUGUGUGUGUGUGUGUGUGUGGUGUUUGACAGUGUGACUGCUGUAGCGAUGAUUUAAGAAGUGGGGGAUCACAGAUGGAAGGAGGGAAAUGUAGAAGGGGGAGUGGAGGUGGAGGAGGAGGGUGGAGAAAGAAGAGACUGGGGUCAAGCUAAGACACUUGAAGAUGACAGGAUAUAAAAAAGAAAACCUCAGAGUUUCUGUUGUGGUACAGCGGAAAUAAACUUGACUAGUAUCCAUGAAGAUAUAGGUUCCACCCCUGGCCUCACUCAGUGGAUUGGGGAUCUGGCAUUGCCGUGAGGUCACAAACGCAACUUGGACCCAGUGUUGCUAUGGCUGUGGCAUAGGCUGGCAGCUGCAGCUCCAAUUGGACCCCCUUAGCCUGGGAAAUUCCACAUGCCACAGGUGCAGCCAUAAAAAGCAAAAAAAAAAAAAAAAAAAAAAAAAAAAAAAAAAAAAAAAAAAAGAAAGAAAGAAAGAAAGGAAAACCUCUCUAAACCUUUAAGAUUAGAAUCAUAAAUACUUUUAUUUCCUUUUGGCCAAAGGCAGAGAAGACAGUUUUUUAGUUCUUCUUCCAAACAAAAACUCCAUGCUUUCUAAAACUUCAGGAGAUGCCAAUUAGUUACCCAGGCGAAGCAAUUCUUUCUCAUGAAAGUCUUUGAGAUGAGCUGUUAUAUUCUAUAAGAAAUAAGAUUCGGAGUUCCCACUGUGGCACAAUGGGUUAAGAAUCUGAUGGCAGUGGUUCAGGUCUCUGCUGAGGCUCGGGUUUGAUCCCAGGCCUCAUGCAGUGGGUUAAAAGAUCUGGCAUUGUCACACCUGCCACUUGGAUUUGAUCCCUGGCCUGGGACCUUCCAUAUGCCAUGGGUGGGGGCAUUAAAAAAAAAAAAGAAGAAGAAAUAAGAUUAAACGUACGAAGUCUGAAUGUUUUCAGGAGGGCUUCUUAUAAACAUCCUAGCAAGAAUACUUUUGGGAUUACUACAUACAGAGCAGGAUGGUUACAAAUAUAAAUUUUUUCACAAGGGUCUACAUUCAGAAGAGCAAACAGGAUUUCAUUAGUGUAUUUUCAGUCUUCAUUUAUAGCUAACUAGUUGUUCCAAAUGACCUUACUCUUUGAAAUUCCUUCCUCUUUCUGCAUGAUUAUUCCCUCCCCUCCCUUUUAUCCAGGCUUCCUUCUAGUAAUCAGAAGGGCUUUCAAUAUCAAGGCUACAGAGAGGAUUUCUUAUAGUAAUCCUGAAAUGAAAAUAAUGGACCUAAAAAAAAUCUGACUCCAGUAGAUGCAUUAAGCUUUUACAAAUCUUACCCAUUCUUUAAAGCUCAGCUCACAAACCACCUCUCCCAGAGCAGUGCUUCUUAAACUUUAAAGUGUGUACAGUGGACUGAGUAUCUUGUGAAAGUGCAGAUUCCGAUCCACUAGAUCUGGAUUAGUGCCUGAGACUCUGAAUUUCUAACUAUGUCCCAGUCAAGCUGAUGCUGCUGGUCUGUGGAUACUAGCAAAGGUCUGGAUUAUUCCAGCCCCCAAUUCAUCAUCUUCUUCUAAACUCCAGUGGAUCUUACACUCUGUUCUCUAGUAUUUCAGUCUUGUAGUAUUUCCCAUUUCGUAAAGGUUAGUCUUAAGUUCCCAGAUCAUGAAGAAAAGAAUCUUAUCUGAUAAGCAUCUAUCCCCUCACCAUGCUAUGCAUGUUGCUAAGCAGAGUAGGCACUCCAAGCACAUUUUCAAAAUAGUGAACAAGUCAUUUGAGACAACUCAGCACACCCUCCAAUAAGAAAACCAGAGCCUUAGGCGGAAAUACCAGUUCAAGGCAUCAUCCUCACCACCACCCGGCAGUGGUGCUUGUGAGAGGGGGGCCUUGUUUCCAUACACAGAGCAGGUACAAGUUUGCAAGCCUUGUACUUGAAUGAGCAAGAAAUGGAGCCUGUUUGUCAAUCUAUAACUGAGUUUAAUCAUAACGUCAAGCUUUACCUGCUGCCUGAUUGCAGAAAAUACUGUCUCAACCGAAUUUAGGUAAACCCAGUACUUCCGGGUUUCUCUGCCCUUUUAGGAUUUCCCCUCCCCGCCCGUCUCCCCUUGUCAGCCUUCCCCGGUGGCAUUCAUUGCCACUGUCACCAUUGCCACGGGGCUUCCAUUGUCUGCGCCACCCUGCUUUCUCCUUGGCCCUCUAUGCUAGGGGUCCUUUUGUAGCCAUCUGAUAGCCCCCUUGUAAGCCUCAAGGACUUUUAAAUUCCGAAAGCGACACCGACUUCUGGUUUAAGCAGGGAAGCCUGUAGGUGAUUAGAUGAAAAUAUUAGCCAUGAACCUGCCACAUAGCACAGGAAAGGGGCAUCUUCCUUCCUUUUCAGGAGCAUCUCAUUAAGAGAAAAACAGAGUUCUCCAAAUAAACAUGAGCCUAGGUAAGUGAACCUACUUAACAGUUGGUGUGGUGUUUUAAAGGAGACUAAGUAAUGUAAGCAUGAAACUUGAGCUUCAGGGCCCCUCAUUUACACAGCCCCCUUCCAAGACCCUGUUCCCAAUUGGGUUCUUUUUCUCAAAAAGAGAAAAAGAGUUGUAUAAGCUUCAAUCUGCGCAAACUCUAGGUUUGGCCCUGGACUGAGUGUGAUGGUUGGUAGUGAUGACAUUGGUGAAGAAAGAACCGAGGGAAAGGGCGAGAGGGUGAAGGUCAGGGUGACAUGCCAGGUGGACUCAGGUCAGGAGGCUCUGUGUCCCCCUCAGAACCUGGUAUUUCUCUUCUCCACUGUGCAUGUCUGUGACCAGCACCAUUAUUAAUUCAGUCUAGCCUGAGAACCCCACAGUUACACAGGCUCCUCCCUUAGUCAGCAGUGAAGUAGAUUCCAUCUCAGCCAUGUUUUCAGCCCAUGUCUCCUCUCCAGUCCCCCCAUCAUCAUCAUAGCUCAGCUGCCAUCAUAUCUAAUCCUAAACCCAUCUGCCAGCCAUCUCCCGACUGCCUCCAGCCCCGCUCCUUCUAGGCACCAGGACCUGAUCUCCUCUGGUUCUGUUUCUCUGGAGAACCCUGACAAAUGCAGCACCUAAUAUACAUUUGUAAGAUGAGUAAAUCUGUAGUAAAGAAGAGAGAUCCUGUAUCUUUAGGAACAUCCCUGUGGGGCUCUGGGGGAUUUAGAAGGCUCUGACACACUGUACUUAAUUCCUUCUGGGGGAAAGAGCACAGAUCUGGAGACUGAUUCGGUGCGCAGGGAGGGCAAAUCCACACAAUCUCGGCAGAAGAAGAUUGUUGGAAGGGUAUAGAGACCUUCUCAGAAUCCAAGGGCAGGAACCAGAGUAGGGCCUCGCAGCAAACGGAUAUCACAGGGCAGUUUGUCUCACUUCUCCGGUCUGGAGCCACACAGUCACUCUUACUUCCUGCAUGCCUUUUCUGCUCUCCCAUGGAAGGCCACUUGUGCUGCAAACUUGGUUAACAAAUCCGACUAGGAACCACGAGGUUGCGGGUUCGAGCCCUGCCCUUGCUCAGUGGGUUGACGAUCCGGCGUUGCCGUGAGCUGUGGUGUAGGUUGCAGACAUGGCUCGGAUCCUGCGUUGCUGUGGCUCUGGUGUAGGCUGGCAGCUACAGCUCUGAUUAGACCCCUUGCCUGGGAACCUCCAUAUGCCACGGGAGCGGCCCAAAAA